ACCGUCGGUUACGAUGAGCAAUUGAUGGCUCCGCCACAAUAAAUAUCAAUCCUUGAGCGGUUCAAUAUUUUGCCCUCCCAGCAUGCAAAUCCAACUCUGCCUUUUCCUGCUACGAGCUCCACUGCCACCCAAAUGGUACCCACAUCAUUUCACAGUACUUAUUUACAGCGGUACCUGUCUCAUUUGGCUGCCGCUACACGCCACGGGUAGAGUAGCCAGUAAAAGGGUUAGCAAACGGAUAUAGCCGAGCUGUCAAACUUCGGAGGUGUUCGGUUCAUCUCCGGUGCCGACUUACGAAUACGUCACCGUUUUAGGCUCAGCUCCAGGCCCUGAUCCUUCUUUCUGCUCUGACAAUCAAAGGAAUAAGAAGUGCGCGCGGUGUUCUUAAUUUUCCAAAGUAAUUUUUGUUAAGUGUUAAAAGUGAUGCAGGUUAAUUGAUUUAAUGCUUUUUUAUAGUUACAGUUAGUAAAAGUCCAAACACAAAAGGACUGAUUAAUGGACUAGAGUAAUAGAGUUUAAAAGUGGUACGCAAAGUAAAAUAACGGUGAGAAGACGGUUCACAGACAAAUUAAAAUACCGGAAAAAAAAGGUCCCCAGAGGACCUUUUAUUCUUGGAUCCAGAUUGUCAUCUGGAACCUAUUCCUUCGCAGAACGGGACCAAGAACAGGAACGGAAACUACCGCCAACAUACGGCUCUCUGUCCGUCGCCACGUGCCGAGACCCCCCGGAAACAAUCCCGGCAGCCACCACGCCAUUCUUCUGCCUGCCGGCAACCCUGAAAACCGGCAACCACAAGCCGCAGGUCGAAUCGACUCCCGAGAGCAGAAAAUACCACUGUCCGGGCGAAGGACGCACGCCAUACACGCUCCGACGGCUAACCGUUGGACCAGAGUCCCAGUUAUAACCGACGCACCGCCACUGCCGCCAUACACAGCCAUUGUCACCGUAAACCACCAACAUGUCACCCAGUCGACGAUCCGGCCAUCUUCCGUCUACACCCGUAAAACCAAACCGCAAGUAGCAAGUGACGUCACUUAGAAUUAGGUUAUUUAUAAGUAAUAAAUAGAGUUAAGAUGUUUAAUGAUGAAGAUUAGUGAUAUUGUAACUUAACUGAGCCUUGGUUUAGUGAACUUGCAUCACGUUUCGAUUUUGCUCGAAUUUCGGACUCAAAAGGAGUCGCCAGCCCUCGUCGUUGGUUGUCGUCCAGUAAGUCUUAUCAGGUCGUAGCUUUUGAGCAUCCCCUACGUAAGUACACCCGUUUGCUGGUCCUCGUCUGGUUGCAUUGUCUGUGAUAUUACCGAAGGCAAAUGGGUCACCCUCUAAAUGAGUGCAUAUGAUGGUGGGUGACAUUUAUAUUCACCACCGACAAGCAUAAUUUCUCCUACCCUGAGCAGCUCGAGGUAACAUAUUGGCGCCCAACUUCAAAAACCCCACUUUUCAAAUAAAAUUUGUCUAUCCCACGCGGGGAGGUAAAAAUCAGUACGCUGAUUUAGAUUUCGCUUCAUCCUCCAAACGAAGCAGAUUUUGGUGUAGUAGAACUGUUCAACUUUCAUUUACAAAAUGGAUGUAGAAUUCGACAUGCAAUAUAAAAGUCUUUUAGUCCACCACUUAGUCAGGGAAGAAAUCGAACAUGAACUAGCAAUUCGGGGAAUCGAGUUUACUGAAACGGAAACACGCGCUGCUCUCGCCAGACGUUUAAGAGAGCAAAUCAAAGUAGAAAAAGAACAGGGUCAUGCGGAUUUAGAUUUCAAUAGAUUAGAUACCAGUGUCGA